rnacentral:rRNA from 1 species
AGAGUUUGAUCAUGGCUCAGGAUGAACGCUAGCUACAGGCUUAACACAUGCAAGUCGAGGGGAAACGACAUCGAAAGCUUGCUUUUGAUGGGCGUCGACCGGCGCACGGGUGAGUAACGCGUAUCCAACCUGCCCAUCACUUGGGGAUAACCUUGCGAAAGUAAGACUAAUACCCAAUGAUAUCUCUAGAAGGCAUCUGAAAGAGAUUAAAGAUUUAUCGGUGGUGGAUGGGGAUGCGUCUGAUUAGCUUGUUGGCGGGGUAACGGCCACCAAAGCAACGAUCAGUAGGGGUUCUGAGAGGAAGUCCCCCANAUUGGAACUGAGACACGGUCCAAACUCCUAGGGAGGA